rnacentral:rRNA from 1 species
UACGAAGGGGCUAGCGUUGCUCGGAAUUACUGGGCGUAAAGCGCACGUAGGCGGAUUGUUAAGUCGGGGGUGAAAUCCUGGAGCUCAACUCCAGAACUGCCUCGAUACUGGCGAUCUCGAGUUCGGGAGAGGUGAGUGGAACUGCGAGUGUAAGAGGUGAAUUCGUAGAUAUUCGCAAGAACACCAGUGGCGAAGGCGGCUCACUGGCCGAUACUGACGCUGAGGUGCGAAAGCGUGGGGAGC